UACGGGGGGGGCAAGCGUUGUUCGGAAUUACUGGGCGUAAAGGGCGCGUAGGCGGUUUGCUAAGUUGAAUGUGAAAACUCUGGGCUUAACCCAGAGCCUGCAUUCAAUACUGGCAGGCUGGAGUUCUGGAGGGGAUAGCGGAAUUCCUGGUGUAGCGGGUGAAAUGCGCAGAUAUCAGGAGGAACACCGGUGGCGAAGGCGGGUCUCUGGGCCGAUACUGACGCUGGAGGAGCGAAAGCCGUGGGGAGCAAACAGG
rnacentral:rRNA from 1 species